GGCCUCAGCUGAUCAUUUGUGCUUCCUUGCCCACACUGUCCAUAGAGUCUCCAUCCAAAUGUAAAUAGUGCUCCGGCAUCUGUUACUACUGCACUAUGCCGACCUCCACAUGCAAUUACCUUCACAUAACUUCCAGGGAAUUUAGAAGCUUUUGCUGAUGAAUCUAAGCUUCCUUGAGGGGCUAUCAUGGACUGAUCUUUCCCCAAAGCUGAUGGAUCAAGGCAAGGUAUGAGAUGAGGAGAAGAAACCAUUUUUAUCCAGGAUCCCAAACCUAGCUGCCCUUCACCUCCAUAGCCCCAA
rnacentral:misc_RNA from 1 species